rnacentral:tRNA from 1 species
GCGAUCGUGGUCGAGGUGUGCGCGACGCUGGCGUUGCGGGCCAGCGACGGAUUUCGCCGCAAGGCCUGGAUCGUCCCGGUGAUCGCC